GAGCUGUGAGAAUGUAUUGCGCUCUAUAGAUGGAUGGGUCUAUCUCAGCAGUCUGAUCUUUGGACGAAAUGUCAACGCUUCUGAUCUC